ACUGGGAUGCUGCCUUGCACUUAGGGAAGGUUCACAUGCCUCAAGGAUCUCUCUCUCUCAGAUUUCUUGACUUUCCCUCAGUCUUCAGUAUAGUCCUCCUCUGUGCCUGGUGAAGACCUGUGGUAAAGUGCUGGCAGAGAGGAAGCUAAAUCACGUAAAAAUUAAGAAACAGCUCAGCGUUUCACAGCUAAGCUGCCGGCUUCCCCUUGAAGGAAUAGGAGUAGACCUGCUGAACUAUCACAUGAGAGAAGAGGCCCAAAAGCUUGCACACUACAGUCAAGCUGGCCCUUAAAGAGAUGGACCUAGAAGAUGCUGAGCCAGAUGUACUCAAUUACUUCUCCAAAAUUCAUCAAUUAGAACUGCUUCUUGCUGCCGCCAUAUGAAGAAGGACGUGUUCGCUUCCCCUUCCUCCAUGAUUGUAAGUUUCCUGAGACCUCGCCAGCCAUGCUGAACUGAAUACAACAUGUUUAAGACCACAGAACAUCUGCAUAGGCUGUAAAUUUCGUUGAAUGAUGGAUGCAAAGAUGGAAGACAGAUGGAUAGAGGAAAAGACAGAAUCAGAUACUGGAUGAGUUAGUACUGCUGCCUGUGCUUCAGAGCUGUCUUAUUACCACAAGGCCGGCAAGCAUCAAUGUCCCCACAUCCCCCUCUGCCUCCCCCUGAAAUGUACCGAUUUAUAUGAAAAUUAAGAUUACAAAUUAAAGCCUGGCUAUCCUGGAGUUUUCCAGUUCAUCAGCCAUCCAAUAAAAAUGAUGUCAAGCCUG
rnacentral:lncRNA from 1 species